GCAGCGCUGAAUCACUACCUUUCCCGCAUACUCUAUAAACUGUUGCCUACGAAAGAGGAACUGGGGACUUAACUAUUCAGGCUGCUUCCAUUCAAGUGUUCCAGACAGUGUAUAUACAUCCAAACAGACACUUCUUUCGGCUUUUUGGAGUUUAUAAGGAGCAGGCAUCUGAAACUGCACUCUGAAGCUAUAUUCCAGAGAUGUACCUGAACAAGUUGCCGGUCGGUGCAAGCUUCAGAAGAGAUCCUUAAAUGACCAACCCCAUUCAUUCUGUGAGCCAGGAAAGAGUGGCACUUCCCAGUCCUGGCUGCUUGUCAGAAUCACCUGUGGAGCUUUAAGCUCUACAGCUGUUCGUGCUCCACACAAACCUCCUGAAUCAGAACCUCUGAAGAAACGACCCAGGAAAAUAAAUCUGUUGAAGAAUUUUAAGAGUCAAAUCUUCUGAGCCUAGACCUACCACUGUCAGCAUCUCUGAGGUCUCCUCCAUCUGAGAAUUACCAGGUCUGACAACACUUUCCCUCUGGCCUACAGUGAGGGAUGUCAACAAAACUGUAGAAAAGUCACGUCCUUUAGACUUCGAACCCUCAAGUUGUGGCAGCUGGAAGAAACCUUACAAGCUUCAUCCUUACAGGGGAUUCAAAAAGACAAGAAGGGUAAAAACUGAGAUA